AGCCCUCUCGCGGAACGCACGCACGGAGCACAAUUCUCCCUCUCCCUGCUGCUCGCCCGCUCUCCUGCUGCACUGCUGCCUGCUUGCUUCCCCAAUCCCCCAAAUCCCUAAACCGUAGGACUGAAAUCCCCCCAAAUCAAGAACAAGAGCUAGCAGAUCCGCCCUACCGGCAAGCUGCGCACGCCCGCGGGGAGGCUGGGAGGCCGGCCGCCGGCUGCUGGGCGUGACCAUGAGGGCCUGAACGCCUGAGGGCGAGGCGACGAGGCUGCGAGGGCGAGGACCGAGCGGCCGACCGGCGAGGAGGAAGAUCUGAGGAAGUUGUAAAAUGAAGAAGAAAUCAAUUGAUUUGAAGACAUUAUGGGAUAGACAUUCAAAGUCAAGAAAGAUAGGCUCCACAUCAACGCUGCAGCCGGUUACCAUUGAGAGUGAAGCAGUUCCUGUUCCAGAUGUUUCUUUUGUUCGGCCAGUUACAGUUGGGAGUGAAGUUCAGAUUCAUAGUGUUGAGGUGGAGCCUGAGAUAGCAGCCACUGAUAUAGCAGCCAGUGAUAGUUAAAACAAAGAUGCACAAUAGACAUGAUGUUGUUUACAAGCUUCUCAAAUUGGUGCUAGUACUACCAGUUGCCACUGCUAGUGUUGAGAGAAUAUUUUCUGCUAUGAACUAUGUGAAGAAUAAAUUGAGAAAUAAGAUGGGGAUCAAUAUUUGAAUGAUUGCUUGGUCACAUUUAUUGAGCUCGAGUUCUUUUUGCAAGUGAAGGAAUGUGAUAUCAUUAACCGCUUCCAAGCCAUGAAGGAACGCAAAAUUAAAGCUACCCUUAGAACCCAUGAAGCAACAGAAAGUUAGAGUACUUUGUAAUCUUAUUUAUGCAUUUUGUAAGUUUUUUAUUUUAUUUUCAUGGAUAUUUUAGAAUUGAUUUAUUCAAGAACUUGUACCAUUAUUUUUUUUCUAUUUAUCAGUUUGGCAUAUGGGAGCAAAUUACUGUU